UUACUGACGAAAUGCGCGUGAGAAUCGCAUGCGAUAUAUCGCCCAGCCCGAGAAGGGUAUUCCUGCACAACCGGAGGCUGCAGUUUCAGGACCGCAGUUCUAGGACCGCAGUUCCAGGACCCUAGUUUUUCGUGACAGCGCCACCUACCGUACUGGAUCAACACUAAUUAAAGAUGGACAACGUGGACAGCAAUCAGACGGCCAUCAUAUAUGCCCUGGGCUGCCCUCCGGAAUUUGUCCUUGCAGGAGGCUGAGGAGGUCUUCCUUUCUGGUCCAGAUUAUCAUUUCAGUGAAGUGGAAGAAUUUAAUAGAAAGAUUGACAAACAAUUGAGGAAAGAAGGGAGACCAUUCAAUUGAGUUGAAGCCUACAGCCAUUCUAUCCAUGCAGCAACUGAUGGAAAAAGGGUUCGCUUUGGUGCUGUUGUCGCAAAAAUGACAUUAUAUAUAUAUAUAUAUAUAUAUAUAUAUAUAUAUAUAUAUAUAUAUAUAUAUA